UACGAAGGGAGCUAGCGUUGUUCGGCAUUACUGGGCGUAAAGCGCACGUAGGCGGACUUGUAAGUUGGGGGUGAAAUCCCGGGGCUCAACCCCGGAAUUGCCUUCAAGACUGCAAGUCUGGAGGUCAGGAGAGGCGAGCGGAAUUCCGAGUGUAGAGGUGAAAUUCGUAGAUAUUCGGAGGAACACCAGUGGCGAAGGCGGCUCGCGGGACUGAUACUGACGCGGAGGUGCGAAAGCGUGGGGAGCAAACAGG
rnacentral:rRNA from 1 species